UGGGGAAUUUUGGACAAUGGGGGAAACCCUGAUCCAGCCAUCCCACGUGUGCGAUGAAGGCCUUCGGGUUGUAAAGCACUUUUGGCAGGAAAGAAACGUCAUGGGUUAAUACCCCGUGAAACUGACGGUACCUGCAGAAUAAGCACCGGCUAACUACGUGCCAGCAGCCGCGGUAAUACGUAGGGUGCAAGCGUUAAUCGGAAUUACUGGGCGUAAAGCGUGCGCAGGCGGUUCGGAAAGAAAGAUGUGAAAUCCCAGAGCUCAACUUUGGAACUGCAUUUUUAACUACCGGGCUAGAGUGUGUCAGAGGGAGGUGGAAUUCCGCGUGUAGCAGUGAAAUGCGUAGAUAUGCGGAGGAACACCGAUGGCGAAGGCAGCCUCCUGGGAUAACACUGACGCUCAUGCACGAAAGCGUGGGGAGCAAACAGG
rnacentral:rRNA from 1 species